CUACGGGAUGCUCCAGGCGAGAAAACUUUGCAAUGUGCGAAAGCACGACAAGGUUAAUCCGAGUGGUUUCUGCUAAAGGAACCUUUUGUCAGUCCUAGAAACACUGAUGAAUAAGGGGUGGGCAAGUUCUGGUGUCAGCCGCCGCGGUAAAACCAGCACCUCAAGUGGUCAGGAUGAUUAUUGGGCCUAAAGCAUCCGUAGCCGGCUCUGUAAGUUUUCGGUUAAAUCUGUACGCUCAACGUACAGGCUGCCGGGAAUACUGCAGAGCUAGGGAGUGGGAGAGGUAGACGGUACUCGGUAGGAAGGGGUAAAAUCCUUUGAUCUAUUGAUGACCACCUGUGGCGAAGGCGGUCUACCAGAACACGUCCGACGGUGAGGGAUGAAAGCUGGGGGAGCAAACCGGAUUAGAUACCCUGGUACUC
rnacentral:rRNA from 1 species